AAAACGGGGGUAGAAGAGGUACUUGAUGUUGUACUCAGUUUGGGCUAAGCAGUAAGCAACCGCCUGGUCACACUUGCACAUGAGUUCUUGACAUUUGUCCUGCGCCGGUCCUAGAAGAAGUGGGGAGAGUGAGGUUAAGGCAGGGACUUGCAGUGACCUGAGGAUAAACCAGUCAAGCUGGAGGCAAGAGGGCCAUAAAUUGCAUCCGGGUGACAGUUCCGAUGUGAUCUCCAUCAUCGAGGCAAGUCCAGAGGGAGGAGAUGUCUGCCCCAAUUUUACAGAAAAGGAAAUUGAAGUUGCCAGGGAAGUGCUUUCAGAUGGAAGUCCCAAGUCCAUAUGCCUUUUGGCUUCUGCAUCAGUAUUAAACCCUUGCAUGUGAGGAUCCGUUUAGAUAAGCAGUAGACGCCUGGGAACCAUCAGGCUUUUUUGGAACAUCUGCUUUGCUCCUUCCUAGCUGCGUGAUCUUAUCUGAACGUUCUGAGCCAAGCCCUCGCUUAGAUGGGGACACUGUCCACUUUGCAGUCUCUUGCAGAUGCUCCUUCAAGAAAAGAGCUUAUUCCCGCAGCCAAUAUAAUAAAUACCCCAAUGGUGAAAAGCUGAAGGCCUUCCAGAUAAAAUCUGGAAGAAGACAAGGAUGCCGACUUUCAAUGCUUCUAUUCAACAAUGGAUUGGAAGUCCUAGCCAUAGCAACCAGUCAAGAAAAAGAAAAGGUAUCCAAACUGGAAGAGAAUAGGUAAAAUCGUCCCUAUAUGCAGAUGACAUGAUACUAUCUAAAAAAAACUCGUUUUCAGUAACAAUCCUGUAUUCCAUCUCUCCCUUCCAUCCUGGCCCUGCCUUACACAGAGACAUAAAGGUUGCCAUCCAAAGAUAAA